rnacentral:tRNA from 1 species
GUCGCCUGGCCGAGGAUCUGCUGGGCCAGUUCGGGACUGGUCGCGGUGACCGUGACAUCGGCGCCGCGGUUCCACCGCGAGACGAGC